GUGGGGAAUAUUGGACAAUGGGCGAAAGCCUGAUCCAGCCAUGCCGCGUGUGUGAAGAAGGUCUUCGGAUUGUAAAGCACUUUAAGUUGGGAGGAAGGGCAGUAAGUUAAUACCUUGCUGUUUUGACGUUACCGACAGAAUAAGCACCGGCUAACUUCGUGCCAGCAGCCGCGGUAAUACGAAGGGUGCAAGCGUUAAUCGGAAUUACUGGGCGUAAAGCGCGCGUAGGUGGUUUUGUAAGUUGGAGGUGAAAUCCCCGGGCUCAACCUGGGAACUGCCUCCAAAACUGCAUGACUAGAGUACGGUAGGGGGUAGUGGAAUUUCCUGUGUAGCGGUGAAAUGCGUAGAUAUAGGAAGGAACACCAGUGGCGAAGGCGACUACCUGGACUGAUACUGACACUGAGGUGCGAAAGCGUGGGGAGCAAACAGGAUUAGAAACCCCAGUAGUCC
rnacentral:rRNA from 1 species